rnacentral:rRNA from 1 species
GACGAACGCUGGCGGCGUGCUUAACACAUGCAAGUCGAACGUGAUUUUUGUGGAAAUUCUUUCGGGAAUGGAAAUGAAAUGAAAGUGGCGAACGGGUGAGUAACACGUGAGCAACCUACCUUACACAGGGGGAUAGCCGUUGGAAACGACGAUUAAUACCGCAUGAGACCACAGAAUCGCAUGAUAUAGGGGUCAAAGAUUUAUCGGUGUAAGACGGGCUCGCGUCUGAUUAGCUAGUUGGAAGGGUAAAGGCCUACCAAGGCGACGAUCAGUAGCCGGUCUGAGAGGAUGAACGGCCACAUUGGAACUGAGACACGGUCCAAACUCCUACGGGAGGCAGCAGUGGGGAAUAUUGCACAAUGGGGGGAACCCUGAUGCAGCGACGCCGCGUGAGCGAAGAAGGUUUUCGAAUCGUAAAGCUCUGUCCUAUGAGAAGAUAAUGACGGUAUCAUAGGAGGAAGCCCCGGCUAAAUACGUG